AAAUAAGUAAGCUAAUUAUUGUUAAGCUUUUAGGUUCAUACCCUAAAUAUAGAAAUAGAAUUUUUCUCUUAUUUA
rnacentral:tRNA from 1 species